AGAACGAACGCUGGCGGCAGGCUUAACACAUGCAAGUCGAACGCGUGUAGCAAUACACGAGUGGCGCACGGGUGAGUAACGCGUGGAUAUCUGCCUUUUGGUUCGGAAUAACCCCGGGAAACUGGGGCUAAUACCGGAUGGUUCCUACGGGAUAAAGAUUUAUCGCCAAAAGAUGAGUCCGCGUCCGAUUAGCUAGUUGGUGGGGUAAUGGCCUACCAAGGCGACGAUCGGUAGCUGGUCUGAGAGGACGAUCAGCCACACUGGGACUGAGACACGGCCCAGACUCCUACGGGAGGCAGCAGUGGGGAAUAUGGACAAUGGGGGCAACCCUGAUCCAGCCAUGCCGCGUGAGUGAUGAAGGCCUUCGGGUUGUAAAGCUCUUUUGGCGGGACGAUGAUGACGGUACCCGCAGAAUAACGCCCGGCUAACUUCGCGCCAGCAGCCGC
rnacentral:rRNA from 1 species